rnacentral:rRNA from 1 species
GGUUAAGCGACUAAGCGUACACGGUGGAUGCCCUGGCAGUCAGAGGCGAUGAAGGACGUGCUAAUCUGCGAUAAGCGUCGGUGAGGUGAUAUGAACCGUUAUAACCGGCGAUUUCCGAAUGGGGAAACCCAGUGUGUUUCGACACACUAUCAUUAACUGAAUUCAUAGGUUAAUGAGGCGAACCGGGGGAACUGAAACAUCUAAGUACCCCGAGGAAAAGAAAUCAACCGAGAUUCCCCCAGUAGCGGCGAGCGAACGGGGAGGAGCCCAGAGCCUGAAUCAGUGUGUGUGUUAGUGGAAGCGUCUGGAAAGGCGUGCGAUACAGGGUGACAGCCCCGUACACAAAAAUGCACAUAUUGUGAGCUCGAUGAGUAGGGCGGGACACGUGGUAUCCUGUCUGAAUAUGGGGGGACCAUCCUCCAAGGCUAAAUACUCCUGACUGACCGAUAGUGAACCAGUACCGUGAGGGAAAGGCGAAAAGAACCCCGGCGAGGGGAGUGAAAAAGAACCUGAAACCGUGUACGUACAAGCAGUGGGAGCCUCUUAAUGG